CACUUGCGGGGCGCCGGGCUGCGGGGCUCCUGGCGGGCGGCGCUCCUCACAGCUUCGCUUCUCAGUUCUUUCCUCCUUCCGAUUCAUGCCCUGGAUGUGAUCCCCAAGGAAGUUCCCUUCACAUGCAAACCACCAAAUCCAGCAUUUGGACAAAAGGUCACCCUAACACCGGGAGGAAAGCUGGGUGAUGUUAUUAGCUGCACUUGGUACAAAGGAAAAGAGAAUUGGGCAAAGCGCAUCUUAACCUAUUACCUACCUCCAAAUAAACAAGGGCAAGUGAAUGGAUCAGCCUACACUGGGCGGGAACUCUUGGAUUUCAACUGUUCCCUUCAGAUCUGCAGUUUAACCUCUGGUGACUCUGGAAAUUAUAUACUAUUAAAAGAGGGAGAUGUGGCUGUGAUAGGAUAUGUAACCAUAAAUGUCACAGAUUUGAGGGGAAAAAAGCAUCUUUUUCUGGUCUGGCGUUGCCAUGGCAAUUCUGAUGGUCUUCCUGCUAAUUCAGAAGAGCUGCCAGAAAUACUAUCGACACAGAGAGCCGAGGACUCCUGCCUUCUGCUACAAACUAUUGAGCAGGAGAUGCACAUGUUAUUUAGGCAAGGAAAGAGAUGGAAAAGCAGGACUCCAGAAUUCUCCCCUUGACUGUUUGGAAGCAUAAAAUGGGUGUUGCCUGAGCUACAAAAAUAAGACACACAUUUAAAAUAAACGUAUAGAGUGCACUGAA